rnacentral:rRNA from 1 species
UACGAAGGGAGAUAGCGUUGUUCGGAAUUACUGGGCGUAAAGCGCACGUAGGCGGGCUGAUAAGUCAGGGGUGAAAUCCCGAGGCUCAACCUCGGAACUGCCUUUGAUACUGUUAGUCUUGAGAUCGGGAGAGGUGAGUGGAAUUCCUAGUGUAGAGGUGAAAUUCGUAGAUAUUAGGAAGAACACCAGUGGCGAAGGCGGCUCACUGGCCCGAUACUGACGCUGAGGUGAGAAAGCGUGGGGAGCAAACAGG